AACACAGGCCUGCCUCUCAAAUUUCCCUAGUGUUGUUCUUCUAUUAGAAGCAAAAGAAACCCAGGAUGAAGUCGGUAUCUCUUCUGCUGUUUCUUGUGCUCAUAAUGGCGACAUGCAGCUCUGCUAGACACAAACUAGGCCAUCUGGAUCAAAGAGAGAGAGGAGAUAUGGAAAAGGUUAAGACAACACUUGGGUAUUCUGGCAGCAGUGUUGAUAACCAUCACAGCAUACCAAGAGAUCAAUAUAACAGCCGGGGUGGUGCCACCAGUCAGCAGCCCCCAUAUGGAGAUGAUAGAAGCAACCAAGGAAAUGGAGGUGGUGGCAUAAAUUAGACUGAAGAUGUUAAGUACUUGAUAGUGUGUAGCUGUGUACUACAUAAUAGAGUGCUUGCCAAUAUACUGUAGUAUAUGAAGUAUCACAACCCUUGCAGGUAAAAAAAAAUGUAACUGUUAAGUUACAUGUCAUGCAGAUAUAGAAAAUUUGGCUUUAUUAGAAUAAAGGUCCAAGGGUACAAAAACUGAGUUGUUGUAGCCAUAGAUGGAUGGAAAUGAGAUCAAUUAAGAUAAAGAUUUCAAGUU